rnacentral:lncRNA from 1 species
AUGAGACAUGAACCUGUACCCUCUGUGUGCAGUGCUACAGCAAUUCAGCAUGUCUUUGUGCUGGAAAAAGUCUUCUUCCUAAUCACAGUUUGCCUUGAUCUGCCCCAGAGCAAGGUCUCAAGUGCCUCUUUAAAUACAAGUCCAAAUGACAGGAGUCCAGGAGUUUGGAAGUUAUUAGAGAGUUGUGUGUUCUGAGCAGUGCUGGUGAGAUGUGUUGUGAUGCAGCACAUGGUGAAGCCAAGUGAUGUACUGGGGCCAGGCACUGGGCUGUUCAGGGGUCUUGCAGAGGUUCUGCUUUAAAUCCAUCUUAAGUUUUCAUCUGUGGUACCGAAGAUGCACCAAUGAGUGUCUGAUAAAGGACCACACUGAGCCAUGUUGCAGCUCAUACAAAACGAGCAGUUUCCACUGCAGUUAGCCCCAAACACUGUGAUAACGUGAAUAAAUUCAACUGCAGCACUGCUAUGUAAUAAGGG